GCAACUGGGAUGGCUCGGACGAGUGGAGGCCAUGCUGAGAGUAAGGCAGAUUCCUUGCCAGCAAACAGAGGAAUGAAGAGGAAAGCUAUGGAUCAAGAUACCACAAUCAGACUAGCAAAAAGACAGUCUACUGUGUCCGGCUGUGCUGAAAACACUGAGGCCGAUUGUAAAGAGGAGCAGGAGCACAUCCCGAUAAUAGAGAUCAACUCGGUGUGCUCG